CCGUGAUAACGUAGCAUAAUCAUUCGCCACCUAAUUAGUGGAUAGUAUGAAUGGUAAAACGAGUAUAACACUCUCUCAGAAGGAAGUUUUAUGAAAUUGGAGUGGUAGUCAAGAUACUACCUAAAACUGUAAGACGAAAAGACCCUAUAGAGCUUAACUAUACCUUUCUCACAAAAUUAAGUUCACUUAAGUUCCAGAAAGAUUGGUAGUUUAGUUGGGGCGACUGCUUUCUAGUAAAAACGAAAGCAAGCAAUAUUAAUUAUCUAAUUUACUGUCUAAUCUAUAUGUUUAACAGUUAUAAAAAUAGGCAAUAAUGACCCGUUAGUAAUAAAAAACACUACUAACGAACAAUAAAUAAAAGCUACCUUAGGGAUAACAGGAUAAUCUUGUUCUAGAGACCCUAUCGAAAACAAGGUUUGUCACCUCUAUGUUGAAUUAAGAUAUCCUAGAAGUGUAGAAGCUUCUGAGG
rnacentral:rRNA from 1 species